rnacentral:rRNA from 1 species
AUUGAACGCUGGCGGCAUGCCUUACACAUGCAAGUCGAACGGCAGCGCGGACUUCGGUCUGGCGGCGAGUGGCGAACGGGUGAGUAAUACAUCGGAACGUACCCUGUUGUGGGGGAUAACUAGUCGAAAGAUUAGCUAAUACCGCAUACGACCUGAGGGUGAAAGUGGGGGACCGCAAGGCCUCACGCAGCAGGAGCGGCCGAUGUCUGAUUAGCUAGUUGGUGGGGUAGAGGCCAACCAAGGCGACGAUCAGUAGCUGGGCUGAGAGGACGAUCAGCCAAACUGGGACUGGGACACGGCCCAGACUCCUACGGGAGGCAGCAGUGGGGAAUUUUGGACAAUGGGGGCAACCCUGAUCCAGCAAUGCCGCGUGUGUGAAGAAGGCCUUCGGGUUGUAAAGCACUUUUGUCCGGAAAGAAAUCGCGCUGGUUAAUACCUGGCGUGGAUGACGGUACCGGAAGAAUAAGCACCGGCUAACUACGUGCCAGCCGCCGCGGUAA